rnacentral:lncRNA from 10 species
CUCUAUCUAUCUAUCUAUCUAUCACAAAAUCAGUAGGAGAUAUAUAUAUACACACACACACACAUAUAUACAUAUGUGUAUGAGAAAUUGCCUCAUGUGAUUAUGGAGACUGAGGAGUCCCCAAAUCUGCUGUGUGCAAACCAGCAACCCAGGAAAGCUGACAGUAUGAUUAAGUCCAAGGACAAAGGUCUGAGAACCUGGAUAGCCAGAGAAGAUGAGAGGAGAUGUCCCAAUUCAAGUACGCAGGCAGGAAGCAAAAGUAGAGAAUUCCUCCAUCCUCCACCUUUUGUUCUAUUUAAUCUCUCAAUGGAUUGGAUGAUGCCCAGUUUCACACAUUGAGGAGUCAAGUCUACGUACUGAAUCCACCCAUUCAAAUGCUAAUCUCUUCCAAGAACACCCUCACAGACACACCCGAAAUAGUGUUAAAUCUGGGCACCCUGUGGCCAUUCAAAAUGACACAUAAAAGUAACCAACACAUGAUCCUGCUUGGAGUUUCAUUGAGUUUUAAUGCAUUUUUUUGCUGUUGCUUGUAAGGUGGAACUUGUUAUUCUUCCAAAAUUAUAUAUUUUUAUUUUGUUUUGAGUAAUAGAUAAAAGCAAGCUAAACUUCCUGUUCGUUCUUAAAUAAUUUCAGUAUGAUAUAGGAAAAUUCAAAUAUAAGAUGAUUUUUUAAGAAUUGAAUUAGCUGUCUUUGUUUCAAUAUUUCCUAAAGGUAAUCAAUUCAUGAAUAGCUACAUUGCUGUAAUUAGUUACAUUGUAUGAUCUAAUUUAAUUAAUUGAGGCAAUUUCACAGUAAAAUUCCUGUGCAAGACAAUGAUUUGGAGGUCAUUUCUGGUACUUUAUGCUACAAAAGUAUCAUUAUCUAUGUUCUAUUAUCAUCCUAAAUAUUUCCUCCCAUCAGUCAAAAAAAGCCUUUAGGCUCAUAACCAUGAAAUUAUUUCAAAGAUAGGGAAACUAUGCCUGACAUUAUCUAAAUACCAAUGGUGUUAGUUAAUGACAACUUAUCAAGUCCAAAUGUAACAGACUAUUAGUAUAUAUGGAAGUGUGGCAAUAAGGCAUGAAUUAAAUAUAGUUGAUGAUGGAGGCUUAAUAAGAUAUGUAUUUUCUUACAGUUCUGAGAUUUUAUGAUUAUUUGGUUGCCCUUCCAAAUGGUGAGAGUCCAGUGACCCCACUUCAAGCAGUCAAUUCAUGAGUAUUGAUGGGUAUAAAUAAAGGAGGUUAAAAAUCUCUGUGUGUGUGUGCGUGCAUGUGUGUGUGUGUGUGUGUGUGUGUUUACAUUUUAUCAACUUAUCAGCUGUCUCCACCCAGUAUUUGAAGAAAACUGUCAUUUUAAUAAAUACAGGAGGACACAGAUAGGUAAAAAAUGAAAGGAACUUUUAGAAACUCAAAAGGAGCUUUGCUGGAAAAAGACUUUGGGGACAUAAAAGACAACAUAAAAUUAAAUAUCUAUUCUCUUAAUUCAAGUUUUUCUGAUAUGCCAUCUCUAAAGUAUUGCUUCCCACUGAUUUUGUCCCUAGUUGUGCUGCUGUUCCUCUGUCACUCCAGAAAACUUGACCAGCUGAAAGAGCCUUUGCAAAAUUAUGACUGAGACAGUGAAAGAGAUCUAAUCUAACUGACUCUGUCUUUGUUCUAAACUUUAAGCUGUCCUUGUUCCUUCCUGGGCAUAGGCUGGACUAACUUUAGGAGGAUCUCAGUUUAUAGAGUUUAUAGUGUAUGGUUUGAAACAAAUGUAAUAGUAGCCCUUUCCCAAAACAAACCUCCUUCUUUCCUGGGGACUAGACUACCUUUGUAGGACUAACAAAUUAGCCACAAGAUUAGACAAUAUGGUUUAGGAGUCAUGCAGCUGGAAGCUACAAGAUUCUGACCCUCCCUAGACUGCUCCUUAGAUCAGUGCUUGAGAUAUUUGUAGACCCAGCACUUUUGUAUCAGCUGUUGGAUCAGCUGUCACCACCCAGAUGGAUAAACUGGCUCAUCUGAUCUUGUGGCCCCCACCCAGGAAUGGACUCAGCACAAGAGGACAACUUCUACUUCCCAUGAUUUCAUCUCCUGUCUCACUGGCUUCCCCCCACGCACCAACUUGUCCUUAAAACCUCUGAUUCUCAAAUGCUGGGGGAGACUGAUUUGAGUAAUAAUAAAAUUCCUGUCUCCAGCACAGAGGCUCUAUGUGAAUUACUUUUUCUCUACUGUAAUUCCCCUGUCUUGAUAAAUUGGCUCUGUCUAGGUAGUGGGCAAGGUGAACCCACUGGGUGGUUACAAAGUUGGGUGCUCAUCUGGGAUUGCCCUUGAAGCUACCUGCCCAUGGUUCAGUAGAUCCCCUCCAGCGAUGGUUCCAGAGACCAGCCCAAGCACCUGCCUAGUUCUCUUAGACCGGCAGCUGACUCUGGUACUCUCUACUGGUGGGGUGCUACCAACUCAAUGUGCAUGGAUUUAAUUGCAAUAGAGAAAUAGUCCUGAGGAGACAUCCCUUUACUGUAGCCCUAUCACAGGGUGUCUUUCUGUAGCCCCAUGAUGGAGUAUCUGUCUGUAGCCCCACUGCAGGUUGUCUGGAGUGGUGAGUAUCCUAGGCAUUGCCAACACCUGCUUCCUUCUCCAGACUGGUUCUGUAGCCCCACAGUGGGGUAUGUCAGUAGCCCCACUGUGGUGUGUCUGUUUGUAACUCUACCACGGGGUGUCUCUGUUCGGCUCCUUUUAGGGUUCUGUUUGUCUGUAGCUCCAUUGAAGGUUUGUCUGUAGCCCCAUGGAGGGGUGCCUGUUUCAGUUCAGCUCCUUGCGGGUCUCAGUUGGUUCUCCCUAACCAGUAGGAAGAGUCUUGGUUCAGGACGACUCUCAAUCAGGAAGAUGUAGGGGAGAUAUCUCAGGUGGAGAAUAGGAGCAUAGUUUGGAAGGGAUAUUCUUGGAAUUCUUGGUUAAGGAUCUGGGUUGGAAAUCCUUCUGUCCAUCUUGUCUUUGUGUGUGUUCGUAUAUGUGGAGGGGAUCCCUGAAGAAAUUGCUAAUGGAAGUCCAGCAGCCCUAACUCAGAGAACCCUCUUUACGUGUCUGUUCACAUUCGAUGAGCCCUGAAGAUAACUCAACAGACCUGCCUGGGAAAAGAGUGAUUUUCAUUGUAAAGUGGCUUGAACCCCACAGCUAUGGCACAGUGAACAGGGUCAUCAAAAGCUACUCCAUUAUUCCAGAAGCUGGAGAGGAAGGGAACCUGGAAACCUGGUAUGCUGGCAAAUAGGAUUCAAUUAUUCUUCUCCAUUUUGUCUUCUUGACAUUCUUGAUGCCCACAAGAGAAAACUUAAGAUAAAUUCUAACAGUCUGGGACUCCUUGGGAAGAACAGAGGAACCACAGACUCCAUUGUGGGAAAAAACUUGGUUUUCCUCACUGAAGCCUGGAAAUUGAAACAGCAAUUGAAAUAGAUCCCUCUCAAAAUCUAAGGCUCUGUUCUGCUUUGCAUUGUGUUAUCUGAUGGUUUUGAAUUUUGGGGGUAUCAAAAAUUACUUUGCAUUAAGGGAGAGCUUUUAGCCUUGUUGUAUAAUAUCUAGGUAAAAAUAUAUACUUCAAGAAAUGGCUAAUGUCAGUUAUGAAGAGAUACUUAGCUCUUUGUAUGCUUGAAUCAGAGAAGCAUGCUGUUGGCCACAUGGAAGAUACAGAAACAUCCCCAACCACCACUGAGGGAAGAUGAGACUCCCAUGGGGGAUAGGUGAUUAUAAUAUGGGCUGAUUGGCUUUGGAUAGCCUUGCAAUAAAGUGCCUAGUGGAAGCACUGUACUGUCUUCUCCCAUAAUAUUUCCCUCCUUUUGGGGAUCCAGGAUCCAGUAUAAAAUGGCACCCUUAAUUUGGGGGAUCAGUUUUGGCCUUCCAGCUGUGCCUCCUUAUUAGGCCCCAGAAACUGGAUGCUUUCCUGGCCUUACUCUUCCAAAGGCUCCACCCUGAAGCCAGUAAUUCAGUUCAGAAACAGGCAAAUGAAAGGCUUACAAGUGCUGAAUCUUCUGUCUGUCUUUACAUGUAUUGUGUGUGUAAUGUUUAUAUAAAAAGAGUUCUGAUUCAUUGGCUCAGAAAAAUAAGUGCUUAAAUCAAAUAUUUUAUCCAAAAAAUAAAAACUUUAAUGUAUUUUGUUCAUCUGACUUAAGUAAUUUUCUGAAAAUAAAGACAGUUUAAAAAUUGUUGGUAAAAUAAAUAUAUCUUCAAAAUUUAGACAUUUUGUCUAAAUUAAGGUGAGAUAUUAGAUUUGCUAAAUGUUUUAAGGUAACAAACUGCUUCUUUAACUUUUAAAAAUUGUUCAAUUUAUCAACUUUGGAGCAUUAGAUUCUGGAUAAGGCCUGAGGAUAUGUGAGGCUUGCCAGGCCCCAUAGCUAUGCUGAAGAGAGUCAGACUUUAUCUGCACUUCUGUCUGAUAUCCUAGGUUCCACAUGAAGUACAUAAGUAAAAUCACUUACUUAUCAGGUUUUCACCAAAAAUAAAAUUUGCUAAGAGUUAACAUUGCGACAUAUAAUUGAGACUACUGGAGAAACAGUUUUACAUACAAGGUGUGUAAGGAAAGUGUAACAUGUUUUUGGUAAAAGAUUAUAGGAAGGCAUGGAAAUAUGUCUUGUGUUAAAGGGAAUGUAAUUUUGUGUAGUUCAGAGGGUUUUAAUGAUUGUCUUAACCUAAAAGAGUACCAGGACAAAACAAGGUUUAAGCAAGGUGAAAGAGGUUUAUGAAGGGUUAGUCUUGUAAAGAAAGGGUUAGUCUUGUAAAGUCUGUGGAUAUGAACAAGUUGGCUAAGAUUUAAAGGGGAUUAUUUAAUUAUUUUCCAUAGGUUGAACAUUAAAAUAAAUGCACACUAUGCAGGGCCAGAAUCUGGUCUGGGUUCAUCUGUGCAAGUAACAGCGUUUUCUUAGAAAAUUGAUGUGCUGUUUGACAGAAAAUUAUAAAGGGUUCUAAACAGUUUAUUAAAAUCUUACCUUAUUGUCAAAUUAAUUAAAACUGGAUAGAUAUAUAAAACUUUAUUCAAGAACUAUCAUUAGCAUUAAAGAUGCACUCAUACAAACAUAAAAUUUGAUACCCUCUUUUGAAAAAUAUUUUUAUAUAAUAUUAAAAGAUAAUGAAAGGGUUUUGUUUGCCUCUUGUGUAAAUAGCAGUAAAAAAAAGGGGAGGAGAGAGAAGAGACAGAUUCAUUUGGCCUCAUGCUAUCUUCACUGGGUCUUGUUGUUUGAAAAGCUAAGUCUCCUUUAUCAAUGUAAAGGUUUUUCUUUUUUUGGAGUUAUCAUUCUGGCCAAAUAAAUGACUGAUGGUGACCUAGGAUUCUAUUUUGUAAUAUCUAGUGUUUUAAACAUUUGAUAUUUGACAAACUUUCCAAAAUCAAAUUAUGCAUUAUGUCUCUUUAUAAACUAAUCUUGUAGGUAUUAGGUCCCCUGAAGUUCAAAAAUGGCAUGUUUGGCUUAUUUUGUAUAAAAAUAAUACAGGAAGCAUUGUCAAAUAUGAAAUGGUGUUUUGGCCUUCUUUGGACUGUAUUUGUAUAAAUAUGUUGUUAAUAAGUGUUCCAAAAUUAUGAGAAACUCCUAUAAUUCUAUGACUUAGUAUAUGUUAUCAGUAAUAAUUUUAACUUUUAUGUUAAAUUAUUGUGUACCACUGAGAUAACAAAUUUACUUGGCAAUUGUAUCUUUAUCUGUGGCUGCUCUAAUAUUUUUGUAAUCCAUGGACAAUUGUCUUCUUUUGAUCCUCUUUAAAUGAUAGUUCUGUAAUUAGCUAUCAAACUCCAAUAGGUGCUGUUAAAUGAAUGUUUCUGAUUAAUAACUCUGGAGAGUGUGACAUUAGAAUAGAGGAAAAACUUUCGAAUAGAAGACUGAAGUAAUUUUUUUGACUUUUUGCUUAAAACGAUGCUGAUCCUUUUUUGUUUUCCAAAGCUAAGAAAACUUUUCUUUUGAGCUAUUUACCACUUUUAACAAAUGAGUAAAAUAUACUCAUCUGAACAAAAUUUGGAGCAUAUUUGUUUCCCUCUACCUGAUUUUUUCAGAAUUUUAAAACUAUUUUUGAGUAUUCUCAACUUAUGGCAGUAUAAUUAUUUGCAUAAGGGCAAUAAGAAUCUGUUUUCUUUUGUAACAGGACACAGUUGGAGAAACUGGUUGUUUUACCAAGGCUUUGACUGGAAUGUCAUGCUUUCUUUAAAUAAUCAAAGUUGACUUAUUGAGCCAACAAAAGCCCCUAGGGAAAUCUGCCUUCAUACCUUGUCUACACCGUCCCUAUUCAAGGUUCCUGACCUGUUGUAAGUAAAGAAUGUAACUUUCUAACAGGCUCAAGAGCCCCAAGUUAUCUUGGGACCUCAAGAGGAAUUUAUCCAACUCCUAGGUAUUUGAGGGUACAAACCUAUGGCUGGGCUCAGCUCUAAAAUGUCUUACCUGAGAUUCCUUAUGGAACAGAGUUCCAUCAAAGCCAAUUUUAAAAGCUGAUUUGAAAAAUAAUUAUUCUUUAUGCAAAUAAUCAGGCCAAGUACAAUAAGACUAAAGUUUAUUUUGUAAAUAAAUCAAUUCUAUUAUAAGUUGUUUUUAAUAAAAAUGGGGAUUGGAGAAAGAAAAUGUAAGCUUCAAAAGAAAAGCUCUAGUACAUAGGUUAUUAGCUGUUCUUGAGUUUUAUUUUUUUCCUGCAGUUCGGAGUCAAUCCUAAAUUAUUUGCCAGCUACAAGUCCCCAAACUAAUGUUUUCAAAUCUUUACUUUUAAACUAGGAAUUGCACACCUUACUCUAGUAGUCAUUAUUUACCUUAUAGUAUGCUCUUCCCUUAAAUGCAGUACUAAAACUAUAGAUGACAAUACUAAAGCCUUUGCCAUGCAAGCCUUGGAACCCCAGCCAGGACUGCAUGAGUAUAUGCAGACAGUUGCAAAGUGGUCCAUGCCUCUCACCUUGGGAUCAACAGCUAACCCCACUAUGCCCCUUGUCAGCAGGAAGAAGCCAGAGCAAUUCAUAGCCCAUAUUCACAGCCUACACCUUAAGAUUAAGGUGUUUUAAAACCCAAAAGGAGAGGUUGGAACCAACUUUGCAAAAUUAUCACUGAGACAGUGAAAGAGAUCUAACCUAACCAACUCCAUCUUGGUUCUAACCUUUAAUUGUCUUUGUUCCUUUCUGGGCACAGGCUGAAUUAACUUUGGGAGAAACUUAGUUUAAACUUUGUUUAAAACUAAUAAUAUAACAACUCUUUCCCAAAACAAACCUCUUUCUUGUCUAGGGUCUAAACUGCCUUUAUAGGACUAACAAAUUAGCCACAAGAUUAGAAAUUAUGGUUUGGGAACCAUGAAGCUGGAAACUACAAGAUUCUGACCCUCCCUAAACUGCUUCUUAGAUCAGUGCUUGAGAUAUUUUGCAGACCCUGCACUUGACAGAUCAGCUGGCACCACUCAGAUUGAUAAAUAGGCUUAUCUGAUUUUGUGGCUCCCACCCAGGAAAGGAAUCAGCACAAGAGGACAGCUUCAACUUCCCAUCAUUUCAUCUCCUACCUAAUCAAUCAGCACUCCUGGCUCACUGGCUUCCCCCUACCCACCAAGUUUUCCUUAAAAACUCUGAUCCCCUAAGGCCUGGGGAGACUGAUUUGAGUAAUAAUAAAACUCUGGUCUCCUGUACAGCCCACUGUGCAUGAAUUACUCUUUCUCUAUUGCAAUUCCCCUGUCUUGAUAAAUUGGCUCUGUCUAGGCAGUGGCAAGCUGAAUCUGCUGAAUGGUUACACAACCUUGUCUAUGGUGGAUAUUGAGUUUAACAGUUAUAACUUUGCCACUGUGUGAAAACAGAAUAUUUUAGAAACAAACAGAUUUGAGUUAUAUCCCCAGUUUUGUCUGUCAUCUAUUAGUUUUGAUAUAUUAAACAUGUUAUUUAAUUAUUUGGGCCUUUGUUUUCUCAUCUCAAGUCUGGAAUUAGUAAAACCACAUAACUCAUGAUAGUAUUCUAGAUAUUAAAUCACCUUAGGUAGUAUUUAUUUAGCAAAGUGCUAUCAUUUUUUAAAACAAAAUGUGUUAUCCCAUUUAACUUUCAUAACAAUCCUAUGACAUAUGUAUUGGCUCAUUGUUCAGGUUAAUCCAUUGAGUUUCAAAGGGCCUAAGCCAUUCCCAAGGCUAGCGUGUCAGUGAAUGGAGAAGCAUAUAUCUGGAAGGUGGCACACUCUUCCUCAGGUUUGCCCAGUUGGAGGUUAGCAAUGGUUGCCAUUCUUACAUAAAAAUAUCCAUUGUAAAAUUCAUAAUAAUAAAAGUAGUUUCAUGUAGACACUGUGUAGGGAGGUUCUAAUGAAAGAGAGAGAACCUACUUUAACAUAGCAGGGAAUAAUUAGCCACAAAGUAAAUAGCAUCUAAUUCCUCUUCUGUUUCCCACUUUAAUGUUUUAUUUUUGAAGGAAAGCUUUAAAACUACUGAUCAACAGAUAAAUUGACUUUAUCAAAAUUAUAAACUUUGAAACAUCGAAGGAUAGUCAACGGAGUAAAAGGCAAUCCACUGAAUGGGAGAAUACAUUUGCAAAUCAUAUAUCUGAUAAAGUUGAUAAAGCAUUGAUAUCAAAAAUAUAUAAAGAACUCUUAAAACUCAACAGCAACAAAACCAAACAAUCCAAUUAAAAGUGAAAAAUUCGAGUAGAUAUUUCUCAAAGAAAAUAUGCAAAUAGCCAAAGGCACAUAAAAAGAUGUUCAACAUCACUAAACAUUAGGGAAAUGCAAAUCAUACACACACCCAAAUGAGAUACACUUCACAUCUAUUAGGGUGGCUGUUAAAAAAGAAAGGAAAAACCAACCAACAUAAACAAAAUAAUGAGUGGGUUAGAAUGUAGAGAAAUGAACUGGGAUCUUUGUGCACUGCCAGCGGGAAUGUAAAAUGAUAUAUCCACGGUAGUUCCUCAAAUUUUUUUAAUUACCAUAUAAUCUGACAAUUCUACCUCUGGAUAUAUACCCAAAAAAUUUAAAUCAGGGAGCAAAAACUUGAACAGAUAUUUGUGCACAAAUGUUCAUACCAGUAUUAUUCACAACAGUCAAAAAGUGAAAGCAAUCCAAAUGUCCAAUGGACAGACAAAUGAAUAAACAAAAUGUGGUGCAAACAUACAAUGAAAUACUAAUCAGCCUUAAAAAGAAGGAAAUUCUGAUACAUAAUAUAGCAUGGGUAGACUUUGAUAACACCAUGCUAGGUGAAAUAACCCAGAGACAAAUAACAAAUAUUAUAUGAUUUCAGUUAUAUGCAGUAGUAGACUAGCCAAAUUUAUAAAGACAGAAACUAAAAUAGUGGUUCCUGGGGCUGCAGGAAGGAGAUGUAUUGUGUAAUGGGUAUACAGUUUCAGUUUGGGAUGAUAAAAACAGUCUAGAGAUAGAUAGUGAUGAUUAUUGCAUAACAAUGUGAAUGUACUUAACGCCACUAAACUGUAAAUUUAAAUGGGUUAAAAUGGUAAAUUUGAUGUUAUAU